GACGAACGCUGGCGGCGUGCUUAACACAUGCAAGUCGAGCGGAGCGGCGAACGGGUGAGUAACGCGCGAGUAACUGCCCCCCUCUCUGGGAUAACAGUUGGAAACGGCUGCUAAUACCGGAUAGAUGGGGAUGACUCGCGUCCUAUCAGCUUGUUGGUCGGGUAAUGGCCUACCAAGGCGAGGACUGGCAGCCCGCCUGAGAGGGCGACCGGCCACUUUGGGCUGAGGUACCUCCCGAACUCCUUCGGGAGGAAGAAGUGAGGAAGAUUGCAAAAUGGGGGACACCCUCAAGCAGCAACGCGCGUGCGAGAUGACGGGCUUCAGUUUGUAAACCGCUUUCAGUCAUGACGCGGUAGUGGCAGAAGAAGCACCGGCUAACUACGUGCCAGCAACCGCGGUAAUUC
rnacentral:rRNA from 1 species